rnacentral:rRNA from 1 species
ACCGAAUAGAUACCCGGGUAGUCCACGCCCUAAACUAUGUCAACUGGUUGUUGGGAGAGUUAAAUCUCUUAGUAAACGCAGCUAAACGCGUGAAGUUGACCGCCUGGGGAGUACGGCCGCAAGGUUAAAACUCAAAGGAAUUGACGGGGACCCGCACAAGCGGUGGAUUAUGUGGAUUAAUUCGAUGCAACGCGAAAAACCUUACCUACCCUUGACAUGUACGGAACGGGGCAGAGACGUCCCGGUGCCCGAAAGGGAACCGUAACACAGGUGCUGCAUGGCUGUCGUCAGCUCGUGUCGUGAGAUGUUGGGUUAAGUCCCGCAACGAGCGCAACCCUUACCAUUAGUUGCUACAUUCAGUUGGGCACUCUAAUGGGACUGCCGGUGACAAACCGGAGGAAGGUGGGGAUGACGUCAAGUCCUCAUGGCCCUUAUGGGUAGGGCUUCACACGUAAUACAAUGGCCGGUACAGAGGGUUGCCAACCCGCGAGGGGGAGCCAAUCCCAGAAAGCCGGUCGUAGUCCGGAUUGUUCUCUGCAACUCGAGAGCAUGAAGUCGGAAUCGCUAGUAA